AUUGAACGCUGGCGGCAGGCCUAACACAUGCAAGUCGAGCGGAUGAAGGGAGCUUGCUCCUGGAUUCAGCGGCGGACGGGUGAGUAAUGCCUAGGAAUCUGCCUGGUAGUGGGGGAUAACGUCCGGAAACGGGCGCUAAUACCGCAUACGUCCUGAGGGAGAAAGUGGGGGAUCUUCGGACCUCACGCUAUCAGAUGAGCCUAGGUCGGAUUAGCUAGUUGGUGGAGUAAAGGCCUACCAAGGCGACGAUCCGUAACUGGUCUGAGAGGAUGAUCAGUCACACUGGAACUGAGACACGGUCCAGACUCCUACGGGAGGCAGCAGUGGGGAAUAUUGGACAAUGGGCGAAAGCCUGAUCCAGCCAUGCCGCGUGUGUGAAGAAGGUCUUCGGAUUGUAAAGCACUUUAAGUUGGGAGGAAGGGCAGUAAGUUAAUACCUUGCUGUCUUGACGUUACCAACAGAAUAAGCACCGGCUAACUUCGUG
rnacentral:rRNA from 1 species